AUCACGCAGCUGCUGGGCGGCGGGGCGGGGCCGCCGCCGGCCGUUACUCGCCCCGCGGCCGUUGUCAGGCAGCCUCCGCCUGAGGGGCGGGGGGGGGGGAGGCUGAGGGGCGGGGUGCCCCCCGCUCCUCUUCUCUCUCCUCUCCUCUCCUCCUGUGCCUCCCCUGCGAGGGGUGGCAGGCGCCCGGUGCUGUCAGGUUUCCGCGCUCCGUCCCCAAAAGGGAGCCGCUGUGAGGUCUGGGUUCAUUGCACAACCCUUAACUUUGAUAACGUACUGUGACUUGUGUGCUGGCUGUUGUGUGCGCCAAGUGAACCUGCCGCAUUCAAAGCGCUGAGAGGGGUGAGCCAGGCUGGCUGUUGGAGCAAGCAGGAAGAGAAGGAGCUUCACUGCUGACCUGAAGAGAUGGUGAGAUAAGGAAAAAUGAUGGUAUCAAUGGACUUGAUCUACAAGAAAGCACCAUGAAGUCUUUUCCCAGGAGACAACCGAGAGAAGGACCGGGAAGAACUGACAAGACAAUUUGAUCUGACAUAGAUGAUGACUGAAAACCACCAGCAGAUGCACACAAAACUCUGACCAAUUCCAGAGCAGACUGGUACCUGUCUGCUAACAGCAUGUGGUACUGCUAAAGAAAAAAUGUUCUUUAAGGCAAGCUUAUCACUGCCAUCUCCACAGUGGCAUGUUUGGGUUUUUUUUGAACUCUUUAAGCAGAAGAAAAAGAGUUGCCUGUGUCAUAUGACAUCAUCUUAUGGAAAUUUAAGGCAAUUCAGAACUAGAAGUUAACUCAGUGUGUACAUUGCUUUGCAUAUUUCGUUCCCUUAAAUAUGCAGUUUAAAGGACACUCAGUGACUUUGAAAUAAAAUCUAUUAUUUCUUAUAGUACAUCUAUCUAGUCCCCUAUCUCACUGGAAGUCUCUUUGGUACUACAUCCUUUAAUAAUUUGCUUUUCAUUUUUAAUGCCUUUCUGUCUUUCCAGACUGUCAUGUUGAAAGCUCACACAAGCACCUACUCCCAUGACACUGAAAACUUCUGGCAAAUUGCAAAAUAAAAUAGUUCUGGUGCCACCAGAGUAUAAUCACCACUGGUAUCCAGACCACUUAAAAGAU